rnacentral:rRNA from 1 species
GCAGCAGGCGCGAAACCUUUACACUGCACGAAGGUGCGAUAAGGGGACUCCGAGUGCGAGGGCAUACAGUCCUCGCUAUUGUGUACCGUAGGGUGGUACACGACCAAGAGCUGGGCAAGACCGGUGCCAGCCGCCGCGGUAAUACCGGCAGCUCGAGUGAUGGCCGAUUUUAUUGGGCCUAAAGCGUCCGUAGCUGGCCCUGCAAGUCCGUCGGGAAAUCCACUCGCCUAACGAGUGGGCGUCCGGCGGAAACUACAGGGCUUGGGACCGGAAGACUUGAGGGGUACGUCUGGGGUAGGAGUGAAAUCCUGUAAUCCUGGACGGACCGCCGAUGGCGAAAGCACCUCAAGACGACGGAUCCGACAGUGAGGGACGAAAGCUAGGGUCUCGAACCGGAUUAGAUACCCGGGUAGUCCUAGCCGUAAACGAUGUUCGCUAGAUGUGGCACAGGCUACGUGCCUGUGCUGUGUCGUAGGGAAGCCGAGAAGCGAACCGCCUGGGAAGA